rnacentral:rRNA from 1 species
AGCAAGAGCCCGGAGAUGGAUUCUGAGACAUGAAUCCAGGCCCUACGGGGCGCAGCAGGCGCGAAAACUUUACAAUGCGGGAAACCGUGAUAAGGGGACACCGAGUGCCAGCGUCAUACGCUGGCUGUCCAGGUGUGUAAAAUACACCUGUUAGCAAGGGCCGGGCAAGACCGGUGCCAGCCGCCGCGGUAACACCGGCGGCCCGAGUGGUGAUCGUGAUUAUUGGGUCUAAAGGGUCCGUAGCCGGUUUGGUCAGUCCUCCGGGAAAUCUGACAGCUCAACUGUUAGGCUUUCGGGGGAUACUGCCAGACUUGGAACCGGGAGAGGUAAGAGGUACUACAGGGGUAGGAGUGAAAUCUUGUAAUCCCUGUGGGACCACCUGUGGCGAAGGCGUCUUACCAGAACGGGUUCGACGGUGAGGGACGAAAGCUGG